rnacentral:rRNA from 1 species
CGAGAAAGCCCGCAAGGGUGAGUAAAGCGGCGCACGGGUGCGUAACACGUGGGUAAUCUGCCCUGGAGUCCGGAAUAACUCGCCGAAAGGCGUGCUAAUGCCGGAUAAGACCACGGGAGCUUCGGCUCCUGCGGGAAAAGGUGGCCUCUGCAUGCAAGCUAUCACUUCAGGAUGAGCCCGCGGCCCAUCAGCUAGUUGGCGGGGUAAUGGCCCACCAAGGCGACGACGGGUAGCUGGUCUGAGAGGACGAUCAGCCACACUGGAACUGAGACACGGUCCAGACUCCUACGGGAGGCAGCAGUGGGGAAUCUUGCGCAAUGGGCGAAGGCCUGACGCAGCAACGCCGCGUGUGUGAUGAAGGUCUUCGGAUCGUAAAGCACUGUCGCGAGGGACG